GGUCAAUGAUGUAUUGUCACGUAUUAUCUGAUUUACGGCUGAUGUGCAUUAAUACUUUAGCUCUAGAAUUACGCUGAGACCUU
ensembl:snoRNA